rnacentral:misc_RNA from 1 species
CGAAACUCGAGCGAAAAAGCCCAAACCACGAAACUGUCUUUCCCCAUACUUCACUGCUUCGCCUGCAAUCAUCACUUGCUAUGCAGACGCUACUCCUGCCGGCCGUUCGCUCUGCCGCGGCGGCAGCAACGACGGCUGUGACAGUAGGUCCAGCGCUUCCUCUCCUCCAACGCUACCGCCCAACGGAUUACCGACCACUCUAUCUCUCAAAUUAUCCGCGCACAUUCACGCAAUUAGUCUCAUUCCCUUGCGCUUCAUUGUCUUAUGAUCCUCUUAAAAGCCCAGACUCGAACCUCUCCUUCACCAAAACGAACGCUUCUUCUCCGGUUUCUCCCCCUUUUAAUCCGUCAAACGACGAGGCUGAGAGGGCGAAGCUCGCUCAGGUUGCGAAGAGAUUGGAG